rnacentral:rRNA from 1 species
UACGUAGGGUGCGAGCGUUAAUCGGAAUUACUGGGCGUAAAGCGUGCGCAGGCGGUUGGGCAAGACAGAUGUGAAAUCCCCGGGCUUAACCUGGGAAUUGCAUUUGUGACUGCACGGCUAGAGUGUGUCAGAGGGGGGUAGAAUUCCACGUGUAGCAGUGAAAUGCGUAGAUAUGUGGAGGAAUACCGAUGGCGAAGGCAGCCCCCUGGGAUAACACUGACGCUCAUGCACGAAAGCGUGGGGAGCAAACAGG